rnacentral:rRNA from 1 species
GACGAACGCUGGCGGCGUGCCUAAUACAUGCAAGUCGAGCGCAGGAAAUCGACGGAACCCUUCGGGGGGAAGUCGACGGAAUGAGCGGCGGACGGGUGAGUAACACGUAAAGAACCUGCCCUCAGGUCUGGGAUAACCACGAGAAAUCGGGGCUAAUACCGGAUGGGUCAUCGGACCGCAUGGUCCGAGGAUGAAAGGCGCUUCGGCGUCGCCUGGGGAUGGCUUUGCGGUGCAUUAGCUAGUUGGUGGGGUAAUGGCCCACCAAGGCGACGAUGCAUAGCCGACCUGAGAGGGUGAUCGGCCACACUGGGACUGAGACACGGCCCAGACUCCUACGGGAGGCAGCAGUAGGGAAUCUUCCACAAUGGACGAAAGUCUGAUGGAGCAACGCCGCGUGAACGAUGAAGGCCUUCGGGUCGUAAAGUUCUGUUGUAAGGGAAGAACAAGUGCCGCAGGCAAUGGCGGCACCUUGACGGUACCUUGCGAGAAAGCCACGGCUAACUACGUGCCAGCAGCCGCAGUAAAAC